rnacentral:rRNA from 2 species
UCUCGGCAAUGGAUAUCUCGGCUCUCGCAUCGAUGAAGAACGUAGCGAAAUGCGAUACCUGGUGUGAAUUGCAGAAUCCCGUGAACCAUCGAGUCUUUGAACGCAAGUUGCGCCCGAGGCCAUCCGGCUAAGGGCACGCCUGCCUGGGCGUCACG